rnacentral:lncRNA from 1 species
UUGUCUCUUAACCCUAAGACGGAUUAAGUUGGCAGCUGGAAGCAUCUGCUUCUCCGCGGUUUGGUUGCUCCCCCUGGUUGGGUGUCUGUACUCUGUAUAUACCAAGUCUUGACGUCAACGAUGACAUCAUCAAUCCCCUGAUUUUUGAUUUUUUCGUCGUUGUUUUGCUUGCAUAUGCUGUCAAGAAGCGCUUCAUCCCCCGUGAGUUUCUUGAACUUCAUUCAUUCCCCUUUCCCGUCUAGUCCUCCGGACAAGCUUUAACUAAUUCUAAGGUUUUGGGUCGUACGCCAAAGCAAAAAGAAAGCAAAAAGCUUCAGCUUUGAGGCGGUAGUCAUUUUGGCAUCCAAUAGAUGAAUCGUUGUUGGCGGGUUUUCUCUUUCUUUGCCCCCUUUUUUUUUUUUUAUAAGAAACGAUGAAUGUAGAUUGAUAAUAUGGAUCCAAGCACUCAUCUUUCUUUAAUUUUGAGUCACUUCUGUCGAUUGUUCAUUGUUAUAUGCUGGGUCCCGAAUUGUGGUUUAGUUGGUAUGAACAGAAACUUGGAGCUUUUAUGUGAAUUUACAGGAGGCAAUAGUUUAUAAUAUAUGUGCAUACAUUGGAUACUGGUAGUUCGUACAUUAGCAAAAGCUGUUUACUAUAGUGUACAAGUUUCAUCAAGAACUGUAGACAAAAGCAGCAAAAGCUGGUAUGUACAUUAGCAAAAGGUGAUCAUUGACAAAAAUAGGUGACUUUAUGACACUAAACUGAUCUCAAAAGCUGAUGCAAAACAUAGGAAUGGUGCAUGAUUUUAGUCGAUUAUUUGGUGCUUUGGCUGGUCAGUGAUUGUUGCUGGUGGAUCUCUUUUCUUAGUUGCUGUAGCUUGUGCGAUGGUUGGAUUGGUUGUGUCUUUGCUUGAAUCUUCAGUUGCAAUUUGUUGAUCAGGUAGGUUUGAUGAUGAGGCUUCAUUGGUUGCUGGUGCAGGGGUCUGUGUAGGAUCUUCAAUUGGUAGACAAGCGAGGAUGUUGUACUUUGCUACAAUUGUGUUUUGUAGAGGAUGAGUGAAUUUCCUGACUUGAAAACGAAAUGUGCUCAUAUGGAGCUUUAUAUUGAUGUCUGCAAUAUCUGGAAUUUGGUUCUGUGGACAUUGGUUUCUGAAUGAGUAUGUCUUUGGUUUGGUAUAUGAAUAGUGUGAAUAAAUUUGUAUUCUAUAAAAAGUAAUGUUGUUAAUGUUCAAAAUUACCUUUAGUGUCAUGUAGAGUAUGUCUUCAGCAGAGAUGUUGAGAAUGUGUUGAGCAUGCUGGUCUUCAAUUUGUGCAGUAAUUGUUCCAGUAGUAUCAGACAGUUGCACUAAGAACUUGAGCCUGCAUUAAGUAUUAUGGUUUUGUUAUGUUAUGAUAAGAAGAAUGUUAUGAAUUUUAGUGUGUAAAUAUGUUUAUGGAUUUACCUUGGCAGUGGUUUUGCAAAUGUCAUGUUGCAAUGACGGCAUAAGAAGUUGAAAUUUGCUUGAGCUCCAGUUUGUUUCUUGCAAUUAGAAGCUGGACAGGUAAGGAUGUAGAGUCGAUGUUGAGGCUGAACUAUCUUUGCUUUGGCUUUGAUCCAGAAUGGCUUUGCCUGUAAGAUUUCAUGUGGUUAAAUAUUAGAUUUUGUUGUGAUAGUAUUUGUUAUCGAAUAUAUUGUAUUUUGUACUGAUAAAUGUAGUAGUUGUACCAGAUAAGGAGUAUUUAGUGCAUAGCUGAUGUCGUGCAUAUGUUCUUCAGGAGGAGGUUGGACUGUUUGAUGAGUUGCAUCAUAAAGUUUUUUUGCUAAAACUUGCUCAAUAUAAGGUCUGCUUGCUUUGGUCCUGUUAUAUUGUAUAGGAUGGUGUCAGAUUUUGGUUAUAAUGUGCCUAACGAAUAAGUAAAUAUUGACUUUAUCAACUUACCAACUUUUGAGUUCUAGUGCUUGAGGGAUUUGUGGAUCAAACAAGAUAGCACUCAUUGUUUGUGUCUCGACAGAUAAAACUGUUAUAUGAUUAUUUGAAAAAUUAGUACUAUAUUCUGUAAAGCAGAUAAUAUACUUGACUUUUGUAAGUUUAUAUGAAUUAGGGACAGAUUGACAUACCAUGUACUGAAGUCACUUUGGCUCUUGUUAUAAUCAAUGUCGGGGAUUGAUUUAAGAUCCUCAGAAGGUAUUGUGCUUCAAUGUCAAUGAAUUUUGGCCACAUUGUAAGUAUCAUUGGCUUUUGUCUGCAUCAGUUAUCAAUAGUUAAUAUGAGUUUUGUGUUGUAUUGCACUUUAUUAAUUUGCAUUGUUUUUAUACUUACUCUUGAUUUAGGAUGAUGAAUUCUUGAAUUGGAUAAUCGCCUCUUUGUCGUGCAAUGAAGCGACGGGGAAGAGCUCCAAUGACAGUGCAUAGCAGAGCUGAGACAAGAGCAUUAGGUAUUAGUAUUGAUAUGUAAGAAUCAUUGUAGUAACAAUGUAAUGAAAAUUAUUAAAGUGAAGUAGUACUUAUCGGAUUUGUAUUUGUAUCCAUGUACUUAUAGAAGUCUCUGAAUGGUGUAAAAUUGUAGCACUGAUCGAUAGGAUACUGGUUUUCUUGAUCUGCUUCUUUGAUGAAUGUACCUCUGGUCAAGGUUAGUUGAAAUGGUGAAGUGCAGUAUCUGAAAUUUU